AUUGAACGCUGGCGGCAGGCCUAACACAUGCAAGUCGAGCGAGUGGCGGACGGGUGAGUAAUGUAUGGGGAACUGCCCGAUAGAGGGGGAUAACUACUGGAAACGGUGGCUAAUACCGCAUACUAUCGGAUGUGCCCAGAUGGGAUUAGCUAGUAGGUGAGGUAAUGGCUCACCUAGGCGACGAUCCCUAGCUGGUCUGAGAGGAUGAUCAGCCACACUGGGACUGAGACACGGUCCAGACUCCUACGGGAGGCAGCAGUUGGGAAUAUUGCACAAUGGGCGCAAGCCUGAUGCAGCCAUGCCGCGUGUAUGAAGAAGGCCGUCGGGUUGUAAAGUACUUUCAGCCGGGAGGCGUUACCCACAGAAGAAGCACCGGCUAACUCCGUGCCAGCAGCCGCGGUAAUUC
rnacentral:rRNA from 1 species